GACGAACGCUGGCGGCGUGCUUAACACAUGCAAGUCGAACGGAAAGGCUCCAGCUUGCUGGAGUACUCGAGUGGCGAACGGGUGAGUAACACGUGGGUAAUCUGCCCUGCACUCUGGGAUAAGCCCGGGAAACUGGGUCUAAUACUGGAUAUGACCUUUCUCCUUAUGGGGUUUGGUGGAAAGUUUUUCGGUGUAGGAUGAGCCCGCGGCCUAUCAGCUUGUUGGUGGGGUGAUGGCCUACCAAGGCGACGACGGGUAGCCGGCCUGAGAGGGUGAUCGGCCACAUUGGGACUGAGAUACGGCCCAGACUCCUACGGGAGGCAGCAGUGGGGAAUAUUGCACAAUGGGCGGAAGCCUGAUGCAGCGACGCCGCGUGAGGGAUGACGGCCUUCGGGUUGUAAACCUCUUUCAGCGGGGACGAAGCGUAAGUGACGGUACCUGCAGAAGAAGCACCGGCUAACUACGUG
rnacentral:rRNA from 1 species